UAAGGCUUAGGUCAUAAAGGAUAACACAGCUUAGGUUCUAUUCUUCAGGGUCCUGAGUCAACCUGUGAUCUGUCCAGCUGCUCUGAGGCCACCAUGCCAAAAUAUGGAUAUUACUUUUACUCUGAGAUUUGAGAUUAAGCCAAAAUUCAAAGAGGAUUGGACCAGAUGAUGGUUUGUACUGGGAACUUGAGAAACAUUGCCUAGGAGCCAUCCUGCCAGCCACAAGGUGAUAUCUUACUGUAGUUUUAUUUCCAUUUUCCUGAUGAAGAAGAUUUGCCUACAUCUUCAUAUUUUGAAAGACCCCUGGUUCCUGUCUUCAAAUUCCAUAAUUACAAAAUGAGCUUGUUAAAUAACAUUCUCUUCCUAGUGAGCUACUUCCAGAGACUAGAGCAUGAUAAAUAAAUAACAGUAAAUUUGCAGUAGAAGAAGCUGGAAGAUAUCACUUAUCAAGAGGCCAAGGUAACUCCUCCACUUCUGAGCCCAAAGAAAUAAGUAAAGAGAAGAAGAAGAAAAAGAACAGAUUAGGCAGCUAUGGUUUUGUGAUCCAAUGGAGCUGAAUAGUUCCUCUGUUGGAAACUUCCUUCCUGUUUGGAUCUCUGGAGCUAAAACAGGACAAUGCAAGGUGCAUCACAGAAGACUGUUGGCAUCCCACUUCAGCAACAUGGUUCUUGGCCCCAGGUACCAUUGGAUCAUCUGGAUCAUACUACUCAGUUGGAAGAGCUGCAGCUGCAGAGCCUUCCCUUGCUCUGGACACUACUUAAAACUAGCAAGUUUUGGGUCAUUCACUAAAUAAGAGUAGCACAAAGCCCUG